rnacentral:rRNA from 1 species
GUGCCAGCAGCCGCGGUAAUACAGAGGGUGCGAGCGUUAGUCGGAAUUACUGGGCGUAAAGCGCAUGCAGGUGGUUUGUUAAGUCAGAUGUGAAAGCCCGGGGCUCAACCUCGGAAUUGCAUUUGAAACUGGCAGGCUAGAGUACUGUAGAGGGGGGUAGAAUUUCAGGUGUAGCGGUGAAAUGCGUAGAGAUCUGAAGGAAUACCGGUGGCGAAGGCGGCCCCCUGGACAGAUACUGACACUCAGAUGCGAAAGCGUGGGGAGCGAACAGGAUUAGAUACCCCAGUAGUCC